AGCGGGUGUGAGCCCCCCCCUCCCCCGCCCGUCCACCGAAGGUCUUUUCCACCCCUCUUUGAGCCUCCGUAUCCCAAAUGAGAGCUUCUCCAUUAUCCUUAUUCUUAAAAGGACCGUGGCAUGGAGCAGGGCCUUUGGCUGACCUGUGAUGAACACGUGGCCUGACUCAGAAAGGAGCCCUGGUUAUUUUAACCUGCCGAGAUUUGGGGGAAUGUUUGUGACUGUGGCAUAAUGUAACCCCUUCACACUUAACGGGUGACCUGCAGACCAGCUGUAUCAGCCCUACCUGGGAGCUUGUGAGAAAUGCAGAAUCUUGGGCCCCCCCUCAGACCUCCUGAAUCAGAAUCUGCAUUUUGAUCUGUGUCCAUCUUAACUAUGAUCUGCGUGCAUGUUAACGAUCGCACAGUUAGCGCAUCCCGACUGACGCUCAGGGGAGGGAGGAAGCAUAGCUUAGUGGUCAAGACCAUGUGCGCGGAAGCCUGGCUUCUAGCAGCUCCGCGGACUGAUUCCUUGCCUCUCCAAGCAGGAGACCUCCCCAGGCCUGACCUAAGUGUUUGCAAAGCCACAUGAGUGAGCUCGGAAAUGGAUUUCCCUGUUGGGUCAUCAGAUGAGACUGCAGCCUUGCAGGCAAUUGAGAGUAACUUCUCAGAAGACCCGGAGCCCAAACCAUCCUGCUAAACUGCUCCCAGAUUGUUGACCUUCAGAACCUGCGAGAUAAGAGAUGUUUCUAGUUUUAGCCACUAAUUUUGGGUGGGGGGGCUUCUCCGUAACACAGUGGCAAUCAAUAAAUACAAACUUCGCUGCUUUAUGAUAAUGAUUGUUAAUGUGCAUUGGGACCUUUUAUUCUGUUCUAAUCACAAUCAUUCACCAGGCCUGGGGUCCAGAUUCUUGUAACUAGGCAGCAAGGUGCCUGUUUAGGGUCUCUUGUUUCUUUGAACAAUACAGAUCAUAAUCCUGCCUAUCAAAAGGGCUGUCCUAAGGAUUAGAGGGAAUAAAGUAUUCUAAGUGCCUAGUGCAGUGCCCCAAACAGAGUGGCUUUUUCACAACAACAACAACAACAAAAUUAGCUAUUAACCAGGGAGAAAAUGGGUUUUAAAUACUAUUUAUGCUUAAGAGGAUGACCCCAAGGAGACUAGAGAUAAUAGUUCCUCCCUGUGGCGUGCCAUAUUUCAUGUUCCUCUUGCUUUAAAGCGAUUCGCAAUUGCUUCAAUGCCCAGUUUUCCAAAACAACAGGCUUCUCUGCCAA